GGCUAGAGUGGCCGCCAAGGCGCCCUCCGAGUGGCCACGUUCCUGAGGGAGCACAUAGCCAGCCAAUUAGAAUAAGCAAUUCCAUCGGAAGGACCGCCCUCGGGACCGGAAAUGAAGGCCUGCUGGGUGGACAACGAGGAACUGCGCAUGUCCGAGCUGACUCCAGAGUUCCUCCGCUCUCGGCCGCUGCUACUCUCAUCCCGUUGCCUCGGCUCUAUCUCCUCCCCCUUCUCGGGGCCUCAGUCUGCGCUGUGAUAGGAUCUGAUGCAAUGAUCUCCCUGGUCCUCCCUGGUUUUUGAGCGACUUGAAUUAUUGUUUUAAAAAACGCCAAGAGGAAACUCUUCCUCCACUCCACUUCCCCUCUUCCUAAAGCAAACACCUGCUAAAUCAAAACCCUCAUCUUCAGACCCUGCCAGUGUUAGCACCCCCGGGGAAAGAACAAUUCGCCUUCCACUACACGACAAUGCUUGAAAUAAAGGAACUCAGAUUCACA